UAUGUUUACAGUUGUUUAUUGGUGCUUUUUUGCCUGUAUUUUGCAGGCUUGCCGAGGACGAAGAACCUGCAGAUCUCAGAGAAAAUCCUUGUAUCGCACGGACGGAUACAGUGAACAUACCUAGUGCAAUGACGCAGGCAGUUCAAGAAGGAAUCGAUGGAACAAACCUAUUCUUACAAACCGCUCAGAACUACCCCAAGAGAAUCCCCAGAUGCUUAUCCACCA